rnacentral:rRNA from 1 species
UUAAGUGACUAAGCGUACAAGGUGGAUGCCUUGGCAAUCAGAGGCGAAGAAGGACGUGCUAAUCUGCGAAAAGCUUGGAUGAGUCGAUAAGAGGCGUUUAAUCCAAGAUAUCCGAAUGGGGAAACCCAGUAGAUGAAGAAUCUACUAUCAACAAGUGAAUUCAUAGCUUGUUGAGGCAAACCGGGAGAACUGAAACAUCUAAGUACCCCGAGGAAAAGAAAUCAACCGAGAUUUCGUCAGUAGCGGCGAGCGAAAGCGAAAGAGCCAGUAAGUGAUAGCAGUAUAGUGAGGAGAAUGUGUUGGGAAGCACAAUCAAAGAGGGUGAUAAUCCCGUAUCUAAAAACCAUAUUGUGGUACUAAGCUAACGAGAAGUAGGGCGGGACACGUGAUAUCCUGUUUGAAGAAGGGGGGACCAUCCUCCAAGGCUAAAUACUCCUGAUUGACCGAUAGUGAACCAGUACUGUGAAGGAAAGGCGAAAAGAACCCCGGUGAGGGGAGUGAAAUAGAACCUGAAACCUUGUACGUACAAGCAGUGGGAGCCCCAUCACUUAAUCCGAUUGGAAGGUGAUGAAAAGCAACUGCACUUAAACAAUGGUAAGAGGAGCGAAGCGAGUCAAACCACCCAAAAGAAGCAGUGGGAUUAAGUGAUGGGGUGACUGCGUACCUUUUGUAUAAUGGGUCAGCGACUUAUAUUUUGUAGCGAGGUUAACCGAAUAGGGGAGCCGAAGGGAAACCGAGUCUUAACUGGGCGAGUAGUUGCAAGGUAUAGACCCGAAACCCGGUGAUCUAGCCAUGGGCAGGUUGAAGGUUGGGUAACACUAACUGGAGGACCGAACCGACUAAUGUUGAAAAAUUAGCGGAUGACUUGUGGCUGGGGGUGAAAGGCCAAUCAAACCGGGAGAUAGCUGGUUCUCCCCGAAAUCUAUUUAGGUAGAGCCUUGAGGUGACACCUUUGGGGGUAGAGCACUGUUUCGGCUAGGGGGCCAUCCCGGCUUACCAACCCGAUGCAAACUACGAAUACCAAAGAGUGAUACUCAGGAGACACACGGCGGGUGCUAACGUCCGUCGUGGAGAGGGAAACAACCCAGACCGCCAGCUAAGGUCCCCAAGUCUAUAUUAAGUGGGAAACGAAGUGGGAAGGCUUAGACAGCUAGGAUGUUGGCUUAGAAGCAGCCAUCAUUUAAAGAAAGCGUAAUAGCUCACUAGUCGAGUCGGCCUGCGCGGAAGAUGUAACGGGGCUGAAAUAUAGCACCGAAGCUGCGGCAUCAGAAUUUAUUCUGUUGGGUAGGGGAGCGUUGUGUAAGCGGAAGAAGGUUCAUCGAGAGGUGGGCUGGACGUAUCACAAGUGCGAAUGCUGACAUAAGUAACGAUAAAACGGGUGAAAAACCCGUUCGCCGGAAGACCAAGGGUUCCUGUCCAACGUUAAUCGGGGCAGGGUGAGUCGGCUCCUAAGGCGAGGCUGAAAAGCGUAGUCGAUGGGAAACAGGUUAAUAUUCCUGUACUUGGUAAAGCUGCGAUGUGGGGACGGAGUAGGUUAGGUUAUCGCACUGUUGGAUAUGUGCGUUUAAGUUGGUAGGUGGGAAGUUUAGGCAAAUCCGGACUUCCUUAACACAGAGAGAUGAUGACGAGGCUCUACGGAGCUGAAGUAACUGAUACCACACUUCCAGGAAAAGCCACUAAGCGAAAGGCUUUACUAAACCGUACUGAAAACCGACACAGGUGGUCAGGUAGAGAAUACUCAGGCGCUUGAGAGAACUCGGGUGAAGGAACUAGGCAAAAUAGCACCGUAACUUCGGGAGAAGGUGCGCCGGCGUAGAUUGUAAGGGCUAGCCCCUGAAGGUUGAACCGGUCGAAGAUACCAGCUGGCUGCAACUGUUUAUUAAAAACACAGCACUCUGCAAACACGAAAGUGGACGUAUAGGGUGUGAUGCCUGCCCGGUGCUGGAAGGUUAAUUGAUGGUGUAAUCGAAAGAGAAGCACCUGAUCGAAGCCCCAGUAAACGGCGGCCGUAACUAUAACGGUCCUAAGGUAGCGAAAUUCCUUGUCGGGUAAGUUCCGACCUGCACGAAUGGCAUAAUGAUGGCCAGGCUGUCUCCACCCGAGACUCAGUGAAAUUGAAAUCGCCGUGAAGAUGCGGUGUACCCGCGGCUAGACGGAAAGACCCCGUGAACCUUUACUAUAGCUUGACACUGAACAUUGAAUUUUGAUGUGUAGGAUAGGUGGGAGACUUAGAAGUAGGAACGCCAGUUUCUAUGGAGUCAUCCUUGAAAUACCACCCUUUAACGUUUGAUGUUCUAACGAAGAUGACGAAACGUGGUCUCGGACAGUGUCUGGUGGGUAGUUUGACUGGGGCGGUCUCCUCCCAAAGCGUAACGGAGGAGCACGAAGGUUUGCUAAUCACGGUCGGACAUCGUGAGGUUAGUGCAAUGGUAUAAGCAAGCUUAACUGCGAGACAGACAAGUCGAGCAGGUACGAAAGUAGGUCAUAGUGAUCCGGUGGUUCUGAAUGGAAGGGCCAUCGCUCAACGGAUAAAAGGUACUCCGGGGAUAACAGGCUGAUACCGCCCAAGAGUUCAUAUCGACGGCGGUGUUUGGCACCUCGAUGUCGGCUCAUCACAUCCUGGGGCUGAAGUAGGUCCCAAGGGUAUGGCUGUUCGCCAUUUAAAGUGGUACGCGAGCUGGGUUUAGAACGUCGUGAGACAGUUCGGUCCCUAUCUGCCGUGGGCGUAGGAGAAUUGGUUGGGGCUGCUCCUAGUACGAGAGGACCGGAGUGGACGCACCACUGGUGUUCCGGUUGUGUCGCCAGACGCAUUGCCGGGUAGCUAAGUGCGGAAGAGAUAAGUGCUGAAAGCAUCUAAGCACGAAACUUGCCAAGAGAUGAGUUCUCCCAAUCUAAGAGAUUGUAAGGGUUGUUGUAGACUACGACGUAGAUAGGUCUGGUGUGUAAGUGUAGUGAUGCAUUGAGCUAACAGAUACUAAUUGCCCGAGAGGCUUAACU